AAAUAAUGAUACAAAAACGCGGAUUGUUUUGAAUUGGGAAACCACUUUGUGAACAGAAUUUAUGACCAAGACAAAUUACUUAAUAGAGUAUUGACAUACACUGCACAGUUUGUAGAAAUACAAAAUGACGGUGACCUUAUCAGAAAGAAACUUGAAUCUGUUUACGAAAAGUAUGUGAAUUUAACAGAUGACGAUGGGGCAAGAACACGCAGUGCUAUUGAAAACAUUCAUGGAAUUGUAAAAUUUGAAAUCAACAAGGUUUACACAGAUGAUAGAAAGGUGCCACAAUCAGGGUGGAUAAAACACGAUUUGUCAGAAAAUUAUGAAAUUAAUGAACAACUCGAUGAUGGUAGUCAUGUUAGGUUAUGGGUUCGAGCAACAGAUAUCAUGAACCACACCCUUGCCGAUUACACAGAAGUGCACAUAGAUAACACACCUCCUGUAGUAGCUAGUGAUCAUUUACAUACAAAUAUUGUAAAUGGAACUUAUACACAUACCUCAAGAAUAAUCUUCAACGCAUUAGAUGAUGACAGUGGUGUACAUCGAAUAGAUUAUAAACUGAUCGUGGAAAAUAACACCAAUGAGCACCGCAGCGGUACAAUUC